rnacentral:rRNA from 1 species
UACGUAGGUGGCAAGCGUUGUCCGGAUUUACUGGGCGUAAAGGGCGCGUAGGCGGCUUUUCAAGUCGGGGGUGAAAGCCUGUGGCUCAACCACAGAAUUGCCUUCGAUACUGUUAGGCUUGAGACCGGAAGAGGUGAGUGGAACUGCGAGUGUAGAGGUGAAAUGCGCAGAUAUCGGGAGGAACACCGGUGGCGAAGGCGGUUCUCUGGGCCUGACCUGACGCUGAGGAGCGAAAGCGUGGGGAGCGAACAGG